CCCUUAGAUGUUCUGGGCCGCACGCGCGCUACACUGAUUCGUUCAACAAGUUUCCUUGGCCGAGAGGCCUGGGCAAUCUUCUUAAUAUGUAUCGUGAUAGGGAUAGAUUAUUGCAAUUAUUAAUCUUGAACGAGGAAUUCCUAGUAAACGCAGAUCAUCAAUCUGCAUUGAUUACGUCCCUGCCCUUUGUACACACCGCCCGUCGCACCUACCGAUUGGAUGUUCCGGUGAAGCCUCGGGAUGAGGACUGGUGCCUUUAUUGGCAUGAGUUGUUCAGAACUUGUCUAAACCUUAUCAUCUAGAGGAAGGUGAAGUCGUAACA
rnacentral:rRNA from 1 species